UCCAGUAUUAGAAUAAUAUCAUCACAGUUAUAAAAUAACUUAAACAUAUUACCACAUAAUCUUAUCAGUCUCUUAUACACAUAAGACAUAGCUUCAAGUCAAACUAUUUCAGUCCGAGUUGAAAUCGGUACAAUUCUAUCAUCCCGACGGUCUAGUCGGACAAUUUAAGGAGUCUAAGUUUAAUUAAACUCUGCCUAAACACUUGACGAUAUCACAGAUAAUUUUCUUAUCAGUCUAAAUGAUUUUCAUAAGCUUGAAAUAUUUUUCAGAUAAUUAAUAUCAUUUAUCUAAAUUUUCCGAUCAUUAAUAACGUAUUUAAAUGAAUUAAAUACCACAUAAUUCUUUAAUCAUUAAUAUCUAUUUAAUAUCAAAUAUUAAUGAAAAUCAUUACAUAAUAUUAUAAUAUAAU
rnacentral:lncRNA from 1 species